CCUACGGGUGGCAGCAGUGGGGAAUAUUGCACAAUGGGGGAAACCCUGAUGCAGCGACGCCGCGUGAAGGAAGAAGUAUUUCGGUAUGUAAACUUCUAUCAGCAGGGAAGAAAAUGACGGUACCUGACUAAGAAGCCCCGGCUAACUACGUGCCAGCAGCCGCGGUAAUACGUAGGGGGCAAGCGUUAUCCGGAUUUACUGGGUGUAAAGGGAGCGUAGGCGGUUUAGCAAGUCAGAAGUGAAAGCCCGGGGCUCAACUCCGGGACUGCUUUUGAAACUGUUGAACUAGAGUGCAGGAGAGGUAAGUGGAAUUCCUAGUGUAGCGGUGAAAUGCGUAGAUAUUAGGAAGAACACCAGUGGCGAAGGCGGCUUACUGGACUGUAAAUGACGCUGAGGCUCGAAAGCGUGGGGAGCAAACAGGAUUAGAUACCCCAGUAGUC
rnacentral:rRNA from 1 species